GUGGUUAAGUUAAGUAGGCUAAGUUAUGUCCUAAAUAGUGGCCCUUUUUCACAUAUUAUAUAAGAUGUCAGUUGUAUCUUCCUUUGCGAACAAUCAACCAGUGAAAUUCUCUGACAGUGGGCAGUCUAUGCGACAUUACAGCACCAAUAUGGGGACACAAAGGAGGACCACUGGACUUAGGGAGGCAUUUGGGACAGAGCCCAAAUUUGCAUUGGCCAGACAUUACAUCAUAACGACUGGGAUGUAAAAUCAGCAUUUAAUGUGCUCCAUUAACAGUGAGGAAAAUUACAGCCUUAGC